rnacentral:rRNA from 1 species
CUACGUGCCAGCAGCCGCGGUAAUAUGUAGGGUGCGAGCGUUAAUCGGAAUUACUGGGCGUAAAGCGAGCGCAGACGGUUACUUAAGCAGGAUGUGAAAUCCCCGGGCUCAACCUGGGAACUGCGUUCUGAACUGGGUGACUAGAGUGUGUCAGAGGGAGGUAGAAUUCCACGUGUAGCAGUGAAAUGCGUAGAGAUGUGGAGGAAUACCGAUGGCGAAGGCAGCCUCCUGGGAUAACACUGACGUUCAUGCUCGAAAGCGUGGGUAGCAAACAGGAUUAGAUACCCUGGUAGUCCACGCCCUAAACGAUGUCAAUUAGCUGUUGGGCAACUUGAUUGCUUAGUAGCGUAGCUAACGCGUGAAAUUGACCGCCUGGGGAGUACGGUCGCAAGAUUAAAACUCAAAGGAAUUGACGGGGACCCGCACAAGCGGUGGAUGAUGUGGAUUAAUUCGAUGCAACGCGAAGAACCUUACCUGGUCUUGACAU